GAACCUUACCAGGUCUUGACAUCCUUUGAAGCUUUUAGAGAUAGAAGUGUUCUCUUCGGAGACAAAGUGACAGGUGGUGCAUGGUCGUCGUCAGCUCGUGUCGUGAGAUGUUGGGUUAAGUCCCGCAACGAGCGCAACCCUUAUUGUUAGUUGCCAGCAUUCAGUUGGGCACUCUAGCGAGACUGCCGGUGACAAACCGGAGGAAGGCGGGGACGACGUCAGAUCAUCAUGCCCCUUAUGACCUGGGCUACACACGUGCUACAAUGGCGUAUACAACGAGUUGCCAACCUGCGAAGGUGAGCUAAUCUCUUAAAGUACGUCUCAGUUCGGACUGCAGUCUGCAACUCGACUGCACGAAGUCGGAAUCGCUAGUAAUCGCGGAUCAACACGCCGCGGUGAAUACGUUCCCGGGUCUUGUACACACCGCCU
rnacentral:rRNA from 1 species